UUCCAAAGCAUAUAGUAAAGAAUUUGUUUGGUUGGGGAAGAGUGGGAAAUUGACUCAGAUCCAUGAAUAUACUAAACUGUCUGAAUGAUAAUGAAUGAAGCAGCUGGUUUGAACUGUUUGCCUGAAGUAUAUGACAUUUGGCAUAAUGGGAUUAAUGCUGGUUGUCACUUAAGGGAAGGUGAGUGUCAGUCUUCCUUUCUUAAAAAAUUACAAUGUGGCUAGGCAUGGUGGCUCACGCCUGUAAUCCCAGCACUUUGGGAGGCUGAGGUGGGUGGAUCAUGAGGUCAAGAAAUCGAGACCAUCCUAGCCAACAUAGUGAAACCCCGUCUCUACUAAAAAUACAAAAAUUAGCCAUAUGGUGGCAUGUGCCUGUAAGUCCCAGCUACUUGGGAGGCUGAGGCAGUAGAAUCGUUUGAAACUGGGAGUCAGAGGUUGCAGUGAGCUGAGAUCAUGCCAAUGUGCUCCAAUCUGGUGACAAAGUGAGACUGCGUCUUAAAAAAAAAUUACGUUUCUUUCUUUAUUGGUUCAUACUACAUGAGUUCACAGCUAUAAAAGACAAAUGUAAGCAUGCUUUAUUUUUAUAUAGAUUUAAAGGGGUACAAGUGUGGUUUUGCUAUAUGGAUUUAUUGCAUAGUGAGGUCUGGGCUUUUAGUGUAACCAUCAUUGAAUAGUGUAUACUGUACACAUUGGGUAAUUUUUCAUCCCCACUCCUUCUCCCUCUCCUGCUUCUUCACCCUUCUGAGUCUCCAUUGUCUAUUAUUUCACUCUCUAUGUCCAUGUGAACACAUUAUUUAGCUCUCACUUACAAGUAAGAACAUGUGGUAUUUGACUUUCUAAGUUACUUCACUUAAGAUAAUAGUUUCCAGUUCCACCCAUGUUGCUGCAAAAGACAUGAAUUCAAUCUUUUAUAUGGCUGAGUAGUAUUCUAUGGUGUAUAUGUACCACACAUUCUUUAUCCAAUCCUUUUUUUUUUUUUUUUUUUUUGAUGGAGUCUUGCUCUGUCAUCUGGGCUGGGGUGUAGUGGCACAAUCUCAGCUCACUGCAACCUCUGCCUCUUGGGUUCAGGUGAUUCUUCUGCCUGAGCCUCCCAAGUAGCUGGGGUUACAGGUGCCUGCCACCACACCGGGCUAAUUCUUUAUAUUUUUAGUAGAGAUGGGGUUUCACCAUGUUGGCCAGGCUAGUCUCAAACUUCUGACCUCAAGUGAUCACCUGCUUUGGCCUCCCAAAGUGCUGAGAUUACAGACAUGAGCCACAGCACUAGGUCUACCCAAACAUUUGCUGAUGUCCACUUAGGUUGAUCUGUGACUUCACUAUUGUGAAAGUGCUGUGAUAAACAUAUGAGCAGCUAUCUUUUCUAUAUAAUGAUUUAUUUUCCUUUUUGUAGAGGUAUCAGUUUUCUUUAUAGCCUCUGCUUUGUGCCUGAUUUCUUAGCACUUAGUAAGAGAAAGCCAAGUGGCAGCCUUGCCAGCUGUGCAGCCUUCCCUUCUAUCCUGCUGAAGAUAGUAUGACAGGCAGUAAGGAGAGGGCUGAUUUUACCAGGGCCAAUGAACUUCUCAUGGCCUUGUUUAAAUCUUUCUGAAUUUAGCCAUCAAGAACACAUUCCUUUAGAAAAUCCCUUCCUUCAGUGUCCAAAGGUAUAGGACUAGCUAUGGCUCCCAGAUUAGAAGAGACUGACCUUUCCUAGAUUUCUACCAAAGUUGAUGUGAUGUGAUGGCUCAGUCUCUAAGGAAACCAAGUCACUAAGAAAAAAAAUGUUUCAUCUGGGCACAGUGGCUCAUGCCUGUAAUCCCAGCACUUUGGGAGGCCAAGGCGGAUAGAUCAUGAGGUCAGGAGUUCAAGACCAGCCUAGCCAACAUGGUGAAACCCUGUCUCUACUAAAAAUACAAAAAAUUAGCUGGGCGUGGAGGCAGGUGCCUGUAAUCUCAGCUACUUUAGAGGCUAGGAGAAUUGCUUGAACCCAGCAGGUAGAGGCUGCAGUGAGCCAAGAUCAUGCCAUUGUACUCCAAUCUGGGCAAGAGAGCAAGACUCUGUCUUGAACAACAACAAAAAAAGGCAAAGAAAAAAGUGUUUCAUAAUUGAUGUUUGUUAAAGUCCUUAGAUUUAAUGAUACAUAAAUGGUGGAUAUGAAAAUAAUAAUUGGCUGGGUGCAGUGGCUCACACCUGUAAUCUUAGCUUUUUUUCUUUUUUUGAGACAGAGUGUGACUCUGUCACUCAGGCUGGAGUGCAGUGGCGUGAUCUUGGCUCACUGCAACCUCUACCUCCCAGGUUCAAGCGAUUCUCCUGCCUCAGCCUCCCGAGUAGCUGGGAUUACAGGUGUCCACCACCACACCCAGCUAAUUUUUGUAUUUUCAGCAGAGACAGGGUUUCACCAUAUUGGCCAGGCUGGUCUCAAACUUCUGACCGCAGGUGAUCUGCCCGUGUUGGCCUCCCAAAGUGCUGGGAUUACAGGUGUGAGCCACUGUGCCUGAUCUGAUCCUAGGAUUUUGGGAGGGGCUUGCUUGAGGCCAGGAGUUUGAUAUCAGCCUAGGUAACGCAGGGAGACACCCCAUCUCUACAAAAAAAAUUUAAAAAUUAGCUAGGUAUGGUAGCACAUGCUUGUCAUCCUAUGCUGGAGGCUGAGGUGGGAGGACUGCUUGAGUGCAGUCUGCAGUGUGCCAUGAUCACACACACCACUGUACUCUAGCCUGGGCAACAACAACAACGAAAUAGAUAAGAGAAAAGAAUAAUUGUUGUUGCUAUAUUAUUUUCUUUUUGGCGGUUGCAAUCUUAAUUCCUAGCAUCACUGUUAAACAUUUAACAUUCACCAUUUAUCAGGAUAUAGUUUAGAAAUUCAAAGCAGCUCAAAGCAAAUGAAAUUAGCAACAGCUUAAAACAAAACAAAACCAAGUGAAAACCUACAGGCUGCUAAGUGUUUAUCCAACAAUGAACUGGGCGGUAUGAAUAGGAGGAGGACUACAGUUCAAAGAAUUGAAACUCAUGUCCCAACAAGCUAAAAGCUACUAAAAGAGUUUGAGUAUAAUAGCCUUUUACCCACCUUCCAACACUCUUAACAAAAAUUCAUGACACAGAAUGAUGUUUGAAACAAUGGGUGUUUUAUUUUAACAUUUCAAGUCCAAGGUGUUCAUGUUUAUUACUUGAGUUUGGAAUGCCCAGAUGGCUGCACUAGGAAACUGAUCAAACAUCCUUGAGUCUUGUUGGAAUGCAACAUACGGUUAAUACAUAUAGCCUCUGCUUUGUAUCUGAUUUUCUUAGCACUUAGUAGGAGAGAGGCAGGCGGCAGCCUUGCCAGCUGUGUGGCCUUCCCUUCUAUCCUACUAAAAGUGGCAUGACACCAGGGAGAGGGCUGAUUUGACCAGUGCAGGUUGCCCAAGCAAUUUUAAAACACACUAUUAUUAUAAUGAUUUUGAGUACAUCUUAAUGAAAGCUACAUUCAAAGUAUAGUGGAGAGAUAGAUGACAAAUAAGAUUUCAUUAAAAGGACUUGAAAAACAGAACAUUUCCAUAAAAGUUUGAAAUAGAUGGCUCUUGGGUGCUCAAUCUUUUCCAUCUUUACAACUUCACCUAUGUGCACUGUAUAGUCAUUACUCCCCUUGAGAAAAGCCUCCUUUCCAGACUUUUUUCCUCCUCAAGUCCUUUCCCAAAGCUGCUGCCAAAAUCAACUUCCUCUGUUGCCAUUCUGACAAUGUCACUCCCUUCCUAAAAUUCCCUUUAAUGGUCUCUGUUGGUCUUUAUUCGAGAGGCAGAUUUCUUGUGCUGCCUUUAGGACAAACACACUAUUUAUUUAUUUAAAACUCAGAUUUAUUUAAGGCUCCUGCCUAUUUUUACAAAUCCACAUGUCACUUCCCUCUCUAUGCAGACUGAUUACCUUUCAAUGCCUUCUUUAUAUUUAUUAAUGUUUAGAUUGUAAAUAUUUUCUCUAGUUUUGGCCAAUAAGAGUUCCUUAUUUUACUGCUAUCCUUUUCUCAUCUCUACCCCAGUGCUAAUCUAUACACACUAAAAGUCUCUGGAGCUAUUCUCCCAAAAUUUGAUUAUUUUUGAAGAAUUACACAAGAAAUCAUGCACUAAAAAUUUUAAGUACUUUUAAAGAAUUAAAAAUAAUAUUGUGGAAUUUCCCUAAUGCAUGAAAAGACCUUUCAAAAUGAGUCACAUGGCCAGGUGUGGUGGCUUAUGCCGGUAAUCCCAACACUUUGGGAGGCCAAGGCAGAUGAAUCACCUGAGGUCAGGAGUUCAAAACCAGCCUGGCCAACCUAAUGGAACCCCGUCUCUACUAAAAUAAGUACAAAAAUUAGCCGGGCAUGGUGGCAGAUGCCUGUAAUCCCAGCUACUGGAGAGGAUGAGACAGGAGACUCGCUUGAACUUGGGAGGUAGAGGUUGCAGGGAGCCAAGAUCGUGCCAUUGCACUCUAGUCUGAGUGACAAGAGUGAAACUCCAUCUCAAAAUUUAAAAAAGAAUAAUAGUCAGCCGCAUCCCCAUCCCGCAGCCAUGGCCGUCCACAAACUGGUGCUGAUUUGGCACAGUGAGAGAACGUGGAACUGGAUGGAGAACUGCUUCAGCGGCUGGUACGACGCCAACCUGGGGCUCGCGAGCCACAAGGAGGCGAAGCGCGGCAGGCAGGCGCUGCUAGAUGCUGGCUAUGAGUUUGACCUCUGCUUCACCUCAGAGCAGAAGAGAGCGAUCCGGAUCCUCUGGACAGUGCUAGAUGCCAUCGAUCAGAUGUGGCUGCCAGUAGUGAGGACCUGGCGCCUCAAUAAGCGGCACUGCAGGUGUCUAACUGAUCUCAAUAAAGCAGAAACUGCUGCAAAGCAUGGUGAAGCCCAGGUGAAGAUCUGGAGGCGCUCCUAUGAUGUCCCACUGCCUCCGAUGGAGCCCGACCAUCCUUUCUACAGCAACAUCAGUAAGGAUUGCAGGUAUGCAGACCCCACAGAAGAUCAGCUACCCUCCUGUGAGAGUCUGAAGGACACCACUGCUUCAGCUCUGCCCUUCUGGAAUGAAGAAAUAGUUCCCCAGAUCAAGGAGGGAAAACAGGUACUGAUUGCAGCCCAUGGCAACAGCCUCCGGGGCAUUGCCAAGCAUCUGGAGGGUCUCUCUGAAGAGGCUAUCAUGGAGCCUUACCUGCCAACUGGUAUUUCCAUUGUCUAUGAAUUGGACAAGAAUUUGAAGCCCAUCAAGCCCAUGCAGUUCCUAGCGAUGAAAAGACCGUGGGUAAAGCCAUGGAAGCUGCGGCUGCCCAGGGCAAGGCCAAGAAGUGAAGACCAGUGGGCAGGCUGCUGUCCCCAGGAACACCCUCCCUGCCUGUUGUGUCCCUCUACCCCUCCCUCCUGCACAUGUCACACUGACCAAAUCUGUAGACAUCUUGAAUUGUAGCUGCAGACGGGGACUGGUGGCUCUCAUUUUCAUUUUAGCCAUUUUGUCUCCUGCACCCACUCCCUUCAAACAUUCUAGUCAGAAAAGCACUUCUAGGACACAGGUUCUCAGUCCAAGCUGUGGAAAGGCUCCCCUAAUCCAAGAGAGUUUAAAGGUAGUGACCUGGGUUUUUGCAAGUGCUUUGUUUACUAAGGACUUGUAGGGAGGAACCAUGCUAAGCCGUGACCAAUGAGGAGAAGCAAGAGAGCUUGUCUGCCCCCCAGGUGCCAGUCCUCUGCUGCCUGCAGUCAGGCCACUGCCUGGGGACUCUAGUCAUUCCAGUGGAAGAUGAAUGUAACCUGCAUGGUGAUGUGACAACUGUUUCCUCCCUGACCGGUCACCAGAGGAGCUGCCUCUAGAAGGUUGGAUCAAUCCUGAAUUUAGUUUAGGUGUUACAUUUACUUUUAUAUAUAUAUUUUAAAGUAUAGUAUAUAUAAAUAAUACAAAACAGUAACCCUUCUGGGGUUUCUUGUGGCAGUUGAAAUAGUAGCAUAUGUGGCCAUCAGAAAAUAAGCCAUUCCUCAUACCAACAUGGGAUCAGCUCCUUGACCUCUGAGGGGCAGGAAUGCUUCCUGCUGUGUGUUUUCGAAUCCCUCCUGCCUUGUUUUGUGGCAGUGAAAUGCCUCUUGGUUCUGUCCAAGUGUCUGUUUCACUGAUUUCUGAAUCGUGUUCUAGUUGCUUGGCCCAGCCAUAUAGGUCCAGUGUUCAUUUGAGCAUAACUGUACUGAAUCCUUUUUCAGUAUAAUAAAGGAGUGACGUGCAAUAAA